rnacentral:misc_RNA from 1 species
UGGAAAUUCACCAUGGGACAACCGCGCGUCUGAUUCGUGACAGUUCGAGCGGCGUCGUGGAUGAGACGGAGGGAACAACACAACGGGGGAAUACGAGUUGCUCUUCGCCUUGAUCACUGGUCGAUAGCCAGUGUUCUAGGACUCGCGGCGAUCGUCUCUUCAUUAGGCAGCGCCAGCGCGUCGAACCAGAGGAAAUGAAGAGAGGGUGUGGUGCCAGUUCGACGUUACAGCCGUAGUUGACGUUUGCUGCCGCAGGGUAUCUCGAUUAUAUUGGAAUUAAGAACGGG